ensembl:miRNA MIR3681 microRNA 3681
ACUUCCAGUAGUGGAUGAUGCACUCUGUGCAGGGCCAACUGUGCACACAGUGCUUCAUCCACUACUGGAAGU